UCCACCCUCACACUUCCUCCCUCCCCUAUUUUUCUCUCUAGCCGCCCCAUACCUCCCUCCUCCCUCUCUAUUCGGAUUCACCAUACAACCACCAUCCACCACCACAAACCACCAUUAAACCUUCAUCUUUCCUUCACUAAUCUUCAAGAUCUUGGACUUUCUGACAGUUAGUGUACGUGCUUCAGGUGUAUUUGACUACUCGUGUCCUUGUUCGUUCAUCUAGGAUAAUCGUGCUUGUGCUGCUUUCAGGUGCUCAGGCUAAUCAGGGAUAAAGGCUGCUAUGCUAGGCUG